UACGUAGGGUGCGAGCGUUUAAUCGGAAUUACUGGGCGUAAAGCGUGCGCAGGCGGUUCGUUGUGUCGGCGGUGAAAGCCCCGGGCUUAACCUGGGAAUGGCCGUUGAAACUGGCGAACUGGAGUGUGGCAGAGGGGGGUGGAAUUCCACGUGUAGCAGUGAAAUGCGUAGAGAUGUGGAGGAACACCGAUGGCGAAGGCAGCCCCCUGGGUCGACACUGACGCUCAUGCACGAAAGCGUGGGGAGCAAACAGG
rnacentral:rRNA from 1 species